rnacentral:rRNA from 13 species
AAGCGCAUACGGUGGAUGCCUUGGCAGUCAGAGGCGAUGAAAGACGUGGUAGCCUGCGAAAAGCUUCGGGGAGUCGGCAAACAGACUUUGAUCCGGAGAUGUCUGAAUGGGGGAACCCAGCCAUCAUAAGAUGGUUAUCUUGUACUGAAUACAUAGGUGCAAGAGGCGAACCAGGGGAACUGAAACAUCUAAGUACCCUGAGGAAAAGAAAUCAACCGAGAUUCCCUUAGUAGUGGCGAGCGAACGGGGACUAGCCCUUAAGUGGCUUUGAGAUUAGCGGAACGCUCUGGAAAGUGCGGCCAUAGUGGGUGAUAGCCCUGUACGCGAAAAUCUCUUGGUCAUGAAAUCGAGUAGGACGGAGCACGAGAAACUUUGUCUGAAUAUGGGGGGACCAUCCUCCAAGGCUAAAUACUACUGACUGACCGAUAGUGAACUAGUACCGUGAGGGAAAGGCGAAAAGAACCCCGGAGAGGGGAGUGAAAUAGAUCCUGAAACCGUAUGCGUACAAGCAGUGGGAGCAGACUUUGUUCUGUGACUGCGUACCUUUUGUAUAAUGGGUCAGCGACUUAUUUUCAGUGGCGAGCUUAACCGAAUAGGGGAGGCGUAGCGAAAGCGAGUCUUAAUAGGGCGUCUAGUCGCUGGGAAUAGACCCGAAACCGGGCGAUCUAUCCAUGGGCAGGUUGAAGGUUGGGUAACACUAACUGGAGGACCGAACCGAC